AGCGUAAGGAUUGACAGGUUGAUUGUCCUUUCUUGAUUCUCUGGGUAGUGGUGCAUGGCCGUUCUUAGUUGGUGGAGUGAUUUGUCUGGUUAAUUCCGUUAACGAACGAGACCUUAACCUGCUAUUUAGUCGCUCGGUCUUUGUCCGCGCGCACUUCAUAGAGGGACUCUGCGGCGUCAAGCUGCGGUGAGGUUUAAGGCAAUUACAGGUCUGUGAUGCCCUUAGAUGUCCUGGGCUGCACGCGCGCUACAGCUGAUGCUUGCCUCGUGUUUACCCUCGGCCGACAGGUCCUGGUAACCCCUAGUCUGCAUCUUAUCUGGGCAUUGAGUCUUGCAUUGUCAUGCACGAUCAAUUAGAUCAU
rnacentral:rRNA from 1 species